GAAAUGCGAUAAGUAAUGUGAAUUGCAGAAUUCAGUGAAUCAUCGAAUCUUUGAACGCACCUUGCGCUCCUUGGUAUUCCUUGGAUCAUGCCUGUUUGAGUAUCAUGAAAUCUUCAAAGUAAAUCUUUUGUUAACUCAAUUGGUUUCUACUUUGGUAUUGGAGAUCUUUGCAGCUUCACACCUGCUCCUCUUUGUUCAUUAGCUGGAUCUCAGUGUUAUGCUUGGUUCCACUCGGCGUGAUAAGUUAUCUAUCGCUGAGGACACUGUAAAAGGUGGCCAAGGUAAAUGCAGAUGAACCGCUUCUAAUAGUCCAUUGACUUGGACAAUACUUUUAUGAUCUGAUCUCAAAUCAGGUAGGACUACCCGCUGAACUUAAGC
rnacentral:misc_RNA from 1 species